CAAUAGCGUAUAUUUAAGUUGUUGCAGUUAAAAAGCUCGUAGUUGGAUUUCGGAUGGGACCUGCCGGUCCGUCGUUUCGAUGUGCACUGGCCAGUCCUAUCUUGUUGUCGGGGACUAGCUCCUGGGCUUCACUGUCCGGGACUAGGAGCUGACGAGGUUACUUUGAGUAAAUUAGAGUGUUCAAAGCAAGCCUACGCUCUGAAUACAUUAGCAUGGAAUAACACGAUAGGACUCUGGCUUAUCUUGUUGGUCUGUGAGACCAGAGUAAUGAUUAAGAGGGACAGUCGGGGGCAUUCGUAUUUCAUUGUCAGAGGUGAAAUUCUUGGAUUUAUGAAAGACGAACUUCUGCGAAAGCAUUUGUCAAGGAUGUUUNCAUUA
rnacentral:rRNA from 1 species